rnacentral:misc_RNA from 1 species
GGAAAAUUAAUGUACCUCACAAGGUGGCUUGCUUCACCUGGUUGGUGGCUAGGGAAGCAGUACUAACUCAGGACUAUCUAAUGAAAAGGGGAAGACAGUUAUGCUCCAGGUGUUUCCUUUGUGAAAUAGAAACAGAGACAACAAACCAUCUCUUCCUCCAAUGCAGAGUGACAGAAAAAUUGUGGCAUGUCUUUUUUUAAUUUGAGGGGAAUCAGCGUCCAUGCCAAGACACUCCUGAAAUUUUCCAGCACGCUGGAAUAGAGAACGGAAUACAUCAGGUCACAAGGAGAGAUGGAAGAUUGUCCCUGCUUGCAUCUGGUGGACAAUUUGGAAGGAAAGGAAACAGAGAUGCUUCUAAAAGA